GGUGACGUCGCUAUUGGCGGCGAAUUUCCAGUCAGCCAGUAAUAAAAACUCACACUACGUCACCGGCCAACAGGAAAGUUUAUUCAGUAGCUUCGAGUGCGAGCAGCGACGUAGUGUUUCGAAACGGACCUUUCUCUACAUAUCUACGUAAUCAACCAUGGCUGACAGCGAACGCGUCGUCUCCCCGAAGGAAGUUGAGAUACAGGUCCAAGUAUCCGACGAGACCAAAGAAACGACAACCACUUCGAAAGAAACAAAAACAGUGACCCAAAAAACGAGCACGGUCCAAGCGUCGCAAAACCGUAAGCCGUCAGAAAAAAACGCUUGAUGGAGUUUGCCGAAAAGUUGUCAAUUGAAGAAAAAUCUACCUUGUUAUGAUUGUUUUAAGAUUUAAUUUUCAACUGCAUUUCUCAAUUAUUAAAAACAUUCGAAUGUAAAUUAAUUAAAUUAAUAAUCACUUAAUUAUAAAAAAUAUUCAAAAUUUACUGUUCAGCAGAACAUAUUGUUGGUAUUGUUUGUUUGAAUUAUUAAUUUCGAUUGUAUGUUGUGAAAAUAAAAUGUAAGAUUGUCUUUA